rnacentral:lncRNA from 1 species
CCAGGGGCGCUCUACCACUGAGCUACAUUCCCAGCCCUUUUUAUUUUUUAUUUUGAGACAGGGCCUCUCUAAGUUACCUAGGCUGGCCACCAACUUGCAGUUCUCCUAUCCCGGCCUCCAGAGUAGCUGUGGUUACGGGUGUGUGCUACUAUGCCCAGUCUGUGAUGCAACUUAAAAAAAAAAUAACAACAGGGAAAGAAAAAUACAAGCAAAAGUGAAUCCACUCCUCUCCACCUGACAGCCUUCAAGACCCCCUCAGCAGAGGCCGUGGUGGCGCACACCUGUGAUCCCAGCUAUGCAGGAGGCUGAGGCAGGAAGAAGGCAAGUUCACCGCCAGCCUAGGCAAUCUACCGAGGGGGACGAAGUGCUUGCCUAGCGUGUUCGAGGCCCUGAGUUCCAUGCCAGUACCAAAAAGCAAACAAAAACCAUUAUAGUCGAUAUUAGAAUUUUUUUUUAAGACAGAGAGAGUUUCCCAAUAUUUUUAUUUUUUAGUUUUCGGCGGACACAACAUUCCUGUAUGUGGUGCUGAGAUUCGAACCCGGGCCACAUGCAUGCCAGGCAAGCACGCUACCGCUUGAGCCACAUCCCCAGCCCAAUAUUAGAAUUCUUACAGAUCUCUGGGUCACCAUAUUUUUUGGUUGAACUUAAAGUGGUUGAUGCUUUAGCUCCCAUCUGUAGCCCCCGACUUUCACUCUGUCACCUGCCAGCAUCAUUCAGUGUUAAGACAUUAUUUUAGCCUGAUGCUUCCUUGUAAGGAAGGAGCACACUUAAUUUUUCAAUGGGCAUUUAGGUCGUUUCCAGUUUGACGUGUGAUCGACCACGUGUGAACACCUCUGCAGACACCGCACAUCUUUGCCAGCUUGACUGGCUAUUUUGUAUGUAGAGCUGCUGGGUCAAAAAGAGGAAGGGUGAGAGAGAGAGACUGGGAGAGUCUGGGGAGAUAGAAAGACAGAGGGACACACCUAAG